UGUUCCUAUAAAGCUUCCAAGUUUGUCCUC
rnacentral:piRNA from 1 species